CUACGUGCCAGCAGCCGCGGUAAUACGUAGGUCCCGAGCGUUGUCCGGACUUAUUGGGCGUAAAGCGAGCGCAGGCGGUUAGAUAAGUCUGAAGUUAAAGGCUGUGGCUUAACCAUAGUACGCUUUGGAAACUGUUUAACUUGAGUGCAAGAGGGGAGAGUGGAAUUCCAUGUGUAGCGGUGAAAUGCGUAGAUAUAUGGAGGAACACCGGUGGCGAAAGCGGCUCUCUGGCUUGUAACUGACGCUGAGGCUCGAAAGCGUGGGGAGCAAACAGGAUUAGAUACCCUGGUAGUCCACGCCGUAAACGAUGAGUGCUAGGUGUUAGACCCUUUCCGGGGUUUAGUGCCGUAGCUAACGCAUUAAGCACUCCGCCUGGGGAGUACGACCGCAAGGUUGAAACUCAAAGGAAUUGACGGGGGCCCGCACAAGCGGUGGAGCAUGUGGUUUAAUUCAAAGCAACGCGAAGAACCUUACCAGGUCUUGACAUCCCUCUGACCGCUCUAGAGAUAGAGCUUUC
rnacentral:rRNA from 1 species